GAUCCCAGAACCAACACCUCCAAAGAGGGAAAUAUUAAUGGUAAGAGUUUACCUACAGUCUGGCUACAGUCUGUUAAAGUGCCACUGUGUUCUAGGACCUCUAUUCAAUUGUUGGUGACUGUCCUCUCUAUAUACACACUCUCUCUAUUCCAGGAAGUGAUCAAGAUCACCACUGUAUUUGAUGGAGAGGAAGUUGAUCCUGUCACAGGGAGGGUGUACGAGUACAACAGUAAGUCUGGAGCCAGACGCUGGAAGGACGUCACCACUGUGUCUGAGUCUGUCCCUAUGAUACAGCCAGAGAGCAGCAGCAUGGUCAUUCCUCAUGGUCAGCAUGGUCAUUCUGCCCAAUCACAGGCUAGGAGUUGGAGGGCUAGCACUGGCCAAUCAAAAAUGAGGAGUGAGGGAGUAGGCAGGGCCACAGAGGAUAGAGGAUCUCCCUGGUCCAGUCAGAGCAGACAAACGUCUGGGCAGUCUGCAAGGUCUGCUCGGUUUGCUCUUUCAGAAGGAGGCGUAAAGUUAGAUAUGGUACCCAUGACAACUAGGGGAAGGCCCAACAUGUCUGAAGUCUGAUUCCUCACUGACAUAUAAUACACUACUUGUUUAGAAAUCUUUCAAAUCAUUAUUAUAGUGGAGCAUAGGAUUUUUGUUUUGGGAAAAAUGUUUAGCCUUUACAACAGUUGUGUAAACGUUUGUGAAGAUAAUGUACGUGCAGAGAUACUCAAAUACGUUGUACAUUAGUGCAAGCUGGGUCGGGGUCAUAAAAUGACCUGGUAACAGCUUUGUAAAUCAAGAUAACAGACAAAUAAAUAUAACCUGUCAACGCUUAUCUAGAUUAAAACUGCUCUGGCGUUGCUAUGUUACACAGACCGUUGCCGUCAUUCACCAAAGUCAAGUGUAACCAACUGUCCUACUGAAGAUACACUAAUCCUGCCAGCCUUCUUUCUACCAUAACUGUGUCUUUUGGUCUGUUUUGAAAUGCUCAGAGAGAAAAAAUAUAUAAUCACACAGAAAAUAAUCAAAUAACAUUUUCAUAAUUGCAAAGAAAGUUGCUAUAAUCUACUUUUUCAAUGUUAAAAGACGGAUCCUCCACAGGCCAUCAACUAACAGUUGGGCACUACAGUCAGACCCUUCAUCAUUGGUCAGGCCCUUUUCUUCACGCAUGGAAGUUCUCAGCAGUCAUAAGAGAAGAGAAGCAUCCGUGAUGCUCUUCUGGGAAGAGAAGCAUCCGUGAUCAUUUAAUCAUUAAAUCGCAAGGAUUAGACAAGCAAACAUCUUCCACAUUGCAGCCGACUUUGAAGUCAAGUCAAGACUGACUGAUCCACAAAUAAAUCACCUUGUAUCAUAAAUAUCUACUCAAUAUUUUUUUUUUUUAAAUUAGGUCAGUCACAAUUUACCCAUAAUACAUCACGAUUUUGAAGCAGUUUAACCACCACCCUGUGACUGAGUACUGGGUUGCUGUGUGUGGUAGAGGGGAGAUAGCCUGGCCCCACAUUUGUUUGUGCUGUCAGUAAAUGACCAUAUGAGUUGACAAAACAACACAAACAAAUCUGGAACCAGGCUAGAGGACAGAGCAAAACAUGUUGACGUGGUUUAAUUCAUAGGCUGUUGAAAUUGAGCAUUUAUAACAUAUGUGUUUGAGAGAAGUGAUUUGACUGAAUUCAACUCACAGCCUGUCUCCUUACUACUGUAACCAGCUUGAUGUGGCUCUAUUAUAGCCUAAAAAGGAAUUGAAUCGGGGUCCAGUCUCAAUUAGCUUAAGAAUACACCAAAGACGUCACAGACUUCAUCAAGGCAAUUCAUUGUCUGGGAUUGUCCUGAGAGAGAUACAAACACAAUAAUAAUAUCUAAUACAUUCAGUAUUGUACAUGAAAGAAUAUUCCAAGUGACCAAAGAUUCCAAGUGACCAAAGAUUCUAAAUGACCAAAGAUUCCAAGUGACCAAAGAUUCUAAAUGACCAAAGCAUAUUACAUGUCAGUGGACGGACAGAAAGCAACAUUGUGAUUAAAAAGCUAAAGGUUGAAGGAAACAGAUACAGUAAUAGAAUAAUAACUGUUUACAGACACAAAACAAAAAGUUAAUGUGACAAGAGCUACUCAGAUGAAGUAAAAAAAAUUUUUUUUUAAAGUUUGUCCCUGCAAGGGCACCAUACCACCUCUCCUCUGCGGGCACUGUU
ensembl:lncRNA